AAGUGGCGGAGUCGGUGAAAUGGCAACAUGCGAGUUUAAUAUCAAGAACACGAUGAUAACGUACGACGGCAUGCUUUCUUACGGCAGUAAGCUUGUGGAAAACUUUACUGUCUACUCAAGCGUCACCGAGUUUUUGUUCGGAAACCACCGUAACCCAGCAUCGUUGACGGCGAUCGUCUACAACCCUCCCGGAUGCGCAUACCAAACAACGUGUCUUAUAGUACAGUGCCUGAUAACCAAUUUUGUACUGGACACAACAACGUUUCCUGAGUUCACUAAAUUCGAUUUCGAGAACUUUAAGAAAAAUUCCACCCUGGCGAAUUUAGUAUGGGAGGACUUUGAAGUGAAUAUGUUCACUAAGGUUAGGUUAAUCGUAAUGAGAACCAUAAACUACACAUGUUGGAAAAGGUUAUGGAACAUAUCUCAACAAACAGUGCACUAAGUUGUACCCUUCGAUGACAUUUCAAUUGAAGCAAUCGACUACUCUUUUUGCAAGUCUGAUGCUGUUGUGGGCUUUUCUUUACUAAUAAAUGAUUGCUGUAA
rnacentral:lncRNA from 1 species